AAACCACGCCUGUUUCGUUGGUGAAAGGAAGAGAUGUUUGUAAUUGGACGAGACUCUUUUAUUCGAGUCUUUCGAGAGAAACAAAGACGAGAGGGUCGAUUGAAGUUGAUCUAUCGUCAUUGAAAGUUCGCCAAUCGAGAAAUCGAUCUUCACCUUGUUCGUCGUGAUCGUCAGCUUUCGUAAUAUUUUCAGGCAAUCUCCAUCUUAUCUAACAAUUUAUCGGUGGAAACACAAGUACGUAGAUCUUUUCACUGAAAGUAAACGAUCUUGAUCUUAUAUUUCAAAAAGAGGUGCUUGAGUAAUUAAUCAGGUUCGGCUACGUAAUGGAGGAAGAAGAGGAAAAGAAGAAAGAAGAAAUUUAAGAUUAUAUCAUGAUCAGACGAUAGAGAAGAAAGAAAAAGGAUUAGAAUUAGAAGGUA